rnacentral:rRNA from 1 species
GAUGAACGCUGGCGGCGUGCCUAAUACAUGCAAGUCGAACGAACAGACGAGGUGCUUCCUCCUCUGACGUUGGCCGCCGACGGGUGAGUAACACGUGGUUCCCCUACCUGUAAGACUGGGGUCCCUUCGGGAAACCGGAGCUAAUACCGGAUAAUAUAUUGUACCGCAUGGUUCAAUAGUGAAGGGCGGUUUUGCUGUCCCGUGUAGAUUUAUCCGCGCCGCAUUAGCUAGUUGGUAAGGUAACGGCUUACCAAGGCAACCAUGCGUAGCCGACCUGAGAGGGUGGUCGGGCAGGCGGGAAGUGAGACAGGGUACACAGUCCUGCGGUAGGAAGCAGUAGGGAAUCUUACGCAAUGGGGGAAAGCGUGACGGAGCAACGCCGCGGGAGUGAUGAAGGUGCUCGGACCGGAGAAGUAUGUAAGUAGGGAAGAACAAAUGUGUAAGUAACUAGGACCGUGUUGACGGUACCUGGUGAGAAAGCCACGGCUAACUACGUG